CUCACCUUAGAAUGGAAAAAUUGAUGGAUCUGGUUUCCCUUCAGGUGAAAGAAAUGCAGCUGUCCGUCAGAAAUAGGAACAGUUUCUCUUGCUAUCAAGAGGUAUGGAAUGCACCUUCUCCUAGCACUGGAGUAGAAACUAACCAAUCUGAGUGUAUUUUCAGGUGAAGGGAAGUGAAUCUAUCCUUUCCUGUCAAAGGCAACAAGCAGUUUCAUAAGAAUAAAGCAAGAUACAUAACCAAAGCUUCUGAGGUUACAGAAGUAUUGACUUGUUCCAAUCAAGAAUAAGGAAACCACUUAUACCUACUAGAUUUUUAACAGUACAGCUGAUCGUAUGGAGAGAAAGAGAGAAAUAAAGCAACAGGAUUGGCUCUUAGGAGCGGUAAGCAACAUUUGAUGAAGGAAACAGGCAGCGUGGACAGUAUUCAAGACACAAUGUUUAAAAGUUGCUGCUGGGAUGGAAGCAAAGAAGAAAGCCCUGGAGACGGGUUAGUGCUGGGACACAGGCACUAUCCUGGAGGGGCCUGGGACAGGGUGUUUAACCAUAGUGACCAGUGGGUCCUUUCCCCACUGUGGUCCUGGCUCGCAUGCACAGGGUGAAACCGAUCGCCAUGUUUGGGGUCAGGAAGGAAUUUUCCUCCAGGGCAGAUUGGCCAGAGACCCUGGAGGUUUUUCGCCUUCCUCUGGGGCAUCGAGCAGGGACCAGCCCUUAGGGCCAUUUAGGAACAGACAUAAUAAAAUCAAUCAGAGAGAA